ensembl:lncRNA
GGAGGAAACAGGAGGGUGAAAGGGGGUUUUGGUGUACUCUGUGACCGCCUCCAGUGCUUCAUGCCGGUCGGAUGACUGAGCGCUGCUGACGCGAUUGGUGCAGGAGGAGGACAGAGCAGAUGCCAUGUGAAAAAGAGAGUGGGAGGAUAAGUACAAAGUGCACAUGGCCAAGACGCCACAAGCACACGGGAUCCUGAACGUAAUGAGAAGCAAUGAUAAGGGACUCAUCAACAAACACUGCGUUACUGGGGGACGGAGGCAGGACGUAUGUUUGAAAGAAAACUCCGGUUUGGUUUCUCCGCCACCAAGUCUCAAGGUUAUCCCACAGAACCCAGGACUGGA